GUGUCAAGGAUACAUAUACUGGAGCUACUUGAAAGGCACGAAUAAAGAACUGAUGUCAAGUAAAGAAGCAUGCAAGAAUGUCAAGAUCGUCACAAGAGGAGCCUACUAGCAGAAACCAAACAGUAGAAAUUGCACAACAACGGUCGUCCAUUGUUCUGACUGGAGAUGAUAUUCUAACAAUUUGUGAGAAGCUGAGAAGUGCAAGCAAAGAUUGGUUCAACUUGGGACUGGCUCUCGGAAUGAAGAUUACCGACUUGGAAGACAUUGAAGAUGCAUACCGCCAUAACCAACGUCGCGUAAUGAAGAUGGUAGCCAAGCGUCUUGAAGUCACUGAUCCAGAGCACCCGAUGACAUGGCCUUACAUAUGUGAAUGUCUAAGGAGUCCUACUGUUGAGCGUAACGAUGUAGCCGAGGAAAUUGAAGACAAGUAUGUGAGGACAGCAACUGCAGUUGCUCAUAGUGCCACCAAUUGAUCAUGAGAACCUGACAAGCUUGAAGGGGACGAAUAAAGUAAAGAAGCAUAAAGAAGCAUACAUGCAAGAAUUAAGUAAAGAAGCAUAAAUAAUAUGUGGUUUCCUGGCAUUGAAC